ACAUGCCUACAACAUUGGUUAAUGCACCGGAUCCCAUUAGAACUCCGCAAUUAAGCACGCUCGGUCUAGAGUAGUACUGGGAUGGGUGACCGCCCACAAAGUUCUAGUGUUUUACAUGCC
rfam:Picea glauca, whole genome shotgun sequence.